UAUUUUAAUAGCUUAUAUUUAAAGUUUAAUAUUGAAGAUAUUAAGAGGACGGUUGUCUUAAAAUAUU
rnacentral:tRNA from 1 species